CCUACGGGUGGCAGCAGUGAGGAAUAUUGGUCAAUGGGCGAGAGCCUGAACCAGCCAAGUCGCGUGAAUGAUGACGGCCCUACGUGUUGUAAACUUCUUUUGUCAGGGAGCAAUUGAGUCCACGUGUGUUCUUAGCGAGAGUACCGGAAGAAAAAGCAUCGGCUAACUCCGUGCCAGCAGCCGCGGUAAUACGGGGGAUGCGAGCGUUAUCCGGAUUACUUGGGUUUAAAGGGUGCGUAGGCGGAAUAUCAAGUCAGCGGUAAAACUUCGGGGCUCACCUCGGUUGUGCCGUUGAAACUGAUGUUCUGGAGUGGGCGAGAAGUAUGCGGAAUGCGUGGUGUAGCGGUGAAAUGCAUAGAUAUCACGCAGAACUCCGAUUGCGAAGGCAGCAUACCGGCGCCCAACUGACGCUGAAGCACGAAAGCGUGGGUAUCGAACAGGAUUAGAUACCCCAGUAGUC
rnacentral:rRNA from 1 species